UUUUCUUCGUCGGUAUUAAGAAACGGGUGUCGACGUCGGGACGCAAAAGUCACGAAAGAAGAUGGCGAUCCGAGGUUCGGAAGAGGUGGAGCGUGGAAAGUUUCUACGCAGCGUGCCUGGACGUUUUUGCAAAUUGCUAAAGCGCUUAAGCUGUUUCACGUGGGCGCCAGUGACGUCAUGGUCCAAUUGGAUUUCAGCAUCCCCCACCGUUGCGUAACACCGACAAUAAUCGACGUCAGACUUUCAAAUGGGUUUCAGUGCGGAGAGAGGGAGGUCUACAUUGAUUCUCACUGAUGAUCGUCGAUGCUUAUCGACCUUCACGGGCCAUGUAUCUUCAUCAUCGGCGUUCCUAAAGACGAAAAAAGUUACUUAAAAAUCA